rnacentral:rRNA from 1 species
ACGGGAGGCAGCAGUGGGGAAUCUUGGACAAUGGGGGAAACCCUGAUCCAGCGACGCCGCGUGAGUGAAGAAGUAUUUCGGUAUGUAAAGCUCUAUCAGCAGGGAAGAUAAUGACGGUACCUGACUAAGAAGCCCCGGCUAACUACGUGCCAGCAGCCGCGGUAAUACGUCGGGGGCAAGCGUUAUCCGGAUUUACUGGGUGUAAAGGGAGCGUAGACGGAAGGCCAAGUCUGAUGUGAAAACCCAGGGCUCAACCCUGGGACUGCAUUGGAAACUGGUCAUCUAGAGUGCAGGAGGGGUAAGCGGAAUUCCUAGUGUAGCGGUGAAAUGCGUAGAUAUUAGGAGGAACACCAGUGGCGAAGGCGGCUUACUGGACUGUAACUGACGUUGAGGCUCGAAAGCGUGGGGAGCAAACAGGAUUAGAUACCCUGGUA